CCUACGGGAGGCAGCAGUGAGGAAUAUUGGUCAAUGGGCGAGAGCCUGAACCAGCCAAGUCGCGUGAAUGAUGACGGCCCUACGGUUUGUAAACUUCUUUUGUCAGGGAGCAAUUGUGUCCACGCGUGGGCUUAGCGAGAGUACCUGCAGAAAAAGCAUCGGCUAACUCCGUGCCAGCCGCCGCGGUAAUACUGAGGAUGCGAGCGUUAUUCGGAUUUAUUGGGUUAAAGGGGGGCGUAGGCGGAAUAUCAAGUAAGCGGGAAAAAUUCGGGGCUCAACCCCGUCGGGCCGGUGAAACUGAUGUUCUGGAGUGGGCGAGAAGUAUGCGGAAUGCGUGGUGUAGCGGUGAAAUGCAUAGAGAUCACGAAGAACUCCGAUUGCGAAGGCAGCAUACCGGCGCCCAACUGACGCUGAAGCACGAAAGCGUGGGUAUCGAACAGGAUUAGAUACCCCUGUAGUC
rnacentral:rRNA from 1 species